rnacentral:rRNA from 1 species
CCUACGGGAGGCAGCAGUGGGGGAUAUUGCACAAUGGAGGAAACUCUGAUGCAGCGACGCCGCGUGAGGGAAGACGGUCUUCGGAUUGUAAACCCCUGUCUUUGGGGAAGAAAAUGACGGUACCCAAAGAGGAAGCCCCGGCUAACUACGUGCCAGCAGCCGCGGUAAUAGGUAGGGAGCGAGCGUUGUCCGGAAUUACUGGGUGUAAAGGGGGCGUAGGCGGGCGAGAAAGUUGAUGGUUAAAUCUACGGGCUUAACUGGUAGCUGCGUUCAAAAAUUCUGGUCUUGAGUGAAGUAGAGGCAGGCGGAAUUCCUGGUGUAGCGGUGAAAUGCGUAGAUAUUAGGAGGAACACCGGUGGCGAAGGCGGCCUGCUGGGCUUUGACUGACGCUGAGGCUCGAAAGCGUGGGGAGCAAACAGGAUUAGAUACCCCUGUAGUC